GAUGAACGCUGGCGGCGUGCUUAACACAUGCAAGUCGAACGGUGAACGAGGGAGCUUGCUCCCUCCGGAUCAGUGGCGAACGGGUGAGUAACACGUGAGCAAUCUGCCCCGAACUCUGGGAUAAGCGCUGGAAACGGCGUCUAAUACCGGAUACGACGCGCGAAGGCAUCUUCUGCGCGUGGAAAGAAUUUCGGUCCGAGGAUGAGCUCGCGGCCUAUCAGCUAGUUGGUGAGGUAACGGCUCACCAAGGCGACGACGGGUAGCCGGCCUGAGAGGGAGAGCGGCCACACUGGGGCUGGGACACGGCCCGGACUCCUACGGGAGGCAGCAGUGGGGAAUAUUGCACAAUGGGCGCAAGCCUGAUGCAGCAACGCCGCGUGAGGGACGACGGCCUUCGGGUUGUAAACCUCUUUUAGUAGGGAAGAAGCGAAAGUGACGGUACCUGCAGAAAAAGCACCGGCUAACUACGUGCCAGCCGCCGCAGUAAGAC
rnacentral:rRNA from 1 species